rnacentral:rRNA from 1 species
CUGGCUCAGGACGAACGCUGGCGGCGCGCCUAACACAUGCAAGUCGAACGAGCGAGAGAGAGCUUGCUUUCUCAAGCGAGUGGCGAACGGGUGAGUAACGCGUGAGGAACCUGCCUCAAAGAGGGGGACAACAGUUGGAAACGACUGCUAAUACCGCAUAAGCCCACGGGUCGGCAUCGACCAGAGGGAAAAGGAGCAAUCCGCUUUGAGAUGGCCUCGCGUCCGAUUAGCUAGUUGGUGAGGUAAUGGCCCACCAAGGCGACGAUCGGUAGCCGGACUGAGAGGUUGAACGGCCACAUUGGGACUGAGACACGGCCCAGACUCCUACGGGAGGCAGCAGUGGGGAAUAUUGCACAAUGGGGGAAACCCUGAUGCAGCGACGCCGCGUGGAGGAAGAAGGUCUUCGGAUUGUAAACUCCUGUUGUUGAGGAAGAUAAUGACGGUACUCAACAAGGAAGUGACGGCUAACUACGUGCCAGCAGCCGCGGUAAAACGUAGGUCACAAGCGUUGUCCGGAAUUACUGGGUGUAAAGGGAGCGCAGGCGGGAAGACAAGUUGGAAGUGAAAUCUAUGGGCUCAACCCAUAAACUGCUUUCAAAACUGUUUUUCUUGAGUAGUGCAGAGGUAGGCGGAAUUCCCGGUGUAGCGGUGGAAUGCGUAGAUAUCGGGAGGAACACCAGUGGCGAAGGCGGCCUACUGGGCACCAACUGACGCUGAGGCUCGAAAGUGUG